GUGACUUCGUAGACGAUUCAACGACCAACCAAGACGUAGCACGCCCCGUUCCUCUUCGGCAAUGCGCGCGCAUUGGUUCGAUAAAUGUGAAAGGCGAACGUCGAUCGUCGGGGGUGGUAUUAAAUAAAGAAGGAAGGCUCUUCUUUUUUAGCCCGCAAGGUUUCAUCCUCGCUCAUACUACGUCGUAUGUACCCUCUUCGAUCCCUCGACGGCGUCCUACGCGUUUAUCGACUUCUAAAUAAAAAUGCUUUUCUUAGACGAUGAAAAAAAAAAAGAAUAAAAUAAUCAACGUUUCACGA